UGAUUACGUCGCAUGAUGACGUUUUGAUUACGUCGCAUGAUGACGUUUUCGUACAUUUUGUUUUUUCAUUAAACUGUUGAUAAAUACUGUGAACGUUUUGUGUAUAUCUAAAUAUGUUUACCUAUGUUAAAAGACGUGCAUAGUAUCAAAUCAUAAAAAUACAAAUUGUUAAGUCUCUAGGAAAUCUUGUAAGAUUUCUGGAACUAUUUUUUUCUAAAUAGGUGCAAUUUGGGUACUCGGUGCAAUUUGGGUACCCUUAAGGGGGCUCGCGGGUCUAAAUGAUUUUUUUUAUUUAAUAUAGGAUUUCUCUUUAUUUUUCUAUAAAUGAACUUUAUCUUAUACUUAAUAGAAAAAUGAAAUAAAAAAAUGGAGUCACCGUUCAUUUACGCUCACAAUCUGCCUUCGAAAGAAGCAUACAUUUUUGUUGAUGUCCUUUUUUUCUGUUGAACUAAUAGGAGAAAAAACGGUAAUAUCGAAAUAAAAAAAGAACUAAAUUACAGAAAUCGCUCAAAUUUUACAAUUAUUUAGUUUAUGUACAGCUUAUUUGAAAACAACAAUAAAAAAUAUAGGUCACUGAUAAGUUAAAAAAGAUAUUUCAAUUUUAAUGCCAAAAAAUGGCAUUUUUGCACCAAAGGGGGAUAAUUUGGAGCUUAUUACAUGAUAUCUACAUUUUAAAAGUCACCUGGGGUCAACACAAAUUGAUUUUUUGGAACGAUUUUUGUACCAAAUGAUAAAGUUACAACUAUUAAAGGUUGUAAAUAAAAUUUGUAUUGAAAAAUUAAUGUUUAUUUUUUUUCUGAAAAUCUUAUACCCGCGAGCCUCCUACAUGUGUCCUAAGUAUGUUUAAUAACUAUUAGUUCAUAUCCAGUCGUCCUGGUACCGUGUAGUGGUAUAUGUGUCGUGGCUUGAUAUGCCAAAGGUCUUGCAUGAGUUCGAAUCCCAGCAUAUACACUGGAUUUUUUCUACAUGAAUUUGAUAGAUAUUCUUCUCCGUAUAAUUAAUUAAGUUUUAUAGUGGAUUUGACAUUCCUGCCAAAAUGUUACAGAACAAAGGAAAGCAUGCACAACAAAGAAACUCAAACUGGGGUGAUCUGGUAGGGGUGAUCCGUCUCAGAUCACCCCUGUUAGAACAAAGGAGCUGGGAUGUAAUCUUUUGGUAUUACAUAACACUUGUAUGCAAUAUUUCUGCAGAUACAGAUACAGAUAAAAAAAAAUUGAACAGAUAAUGAUUAUUAUAUUACAUGAAACUGGCAAAACUUCCAGUGAAUAAACUUAUAGACUUAAUUAAUUAUUAAUUCUUUUAAUAACAUCAUUCUAAACAUGCUAAAUAGUAUAUCUGAUGAGUUAAUAUUUUUAAUUCUAAGUUGCUUAGUGAGUAGUUUCAAGUCAUGCACUAGUGAUUGUCUUCAUGGACCAAUGAGUUAGGUUUGUUAUAACCGUUUAGGUUUUACAAGUUUUUGGGUAUGACAACUCUCUCUUCUUUAUAAUGAUUGGUUCAUUAAGUCACAUGUCAUUUUUGGAGGGAAAUUCUAUUGUCUUGGUUAGAAUUUGCUUAUAUCUUGAACUGAGGGGUGCUGAUAUAGUUUGUACUCAUAUUUAAUGGACAUCUUUGAUUUUAUAAAUAAAAAAGAUAUUGAACCAGACUAAGAUUAUACAUGAUGUACAUGUAGUACCACAAGGGUUCCAGAGUUUUGUUUAUACAGGACAUUUGUACCUCAUACAAGUAUGAUGAGAGAAGUUCAGAACAAGCUAUUAUGUUUGAAGAGGAGUUGUCAGUACGUCAUCUUUGAAUAAAGUCAGUUGUAUUAGAAGUCAAGCCUAAACAGAAAUGAGACAUUUAUCAAAUAAUUCAAAGACUACAUGGAUUUUAUCUGGACUAGCAUUUGUAUGACCCAAAUGUGGUAUUUUUCAUAUGAAGACUUACAAGGCAAAUAAUUGGCUGUGGCAAACAUGUGUAUAUAUUUGACAUGUUUAAAGACUUGAAGAACUUGUACUGCCUCCUUCAGAUUUCAGUAGAAUUUGUUUAAGACAGUAAAUUCUGAGUAUGAAUUGGAAAAUUUUUGCUCAUUUCUUAUUUUCUUUCUUGAAACUUAUUACAAACUUUAUCAAAAUUAAUAGAAAGACAUGUUUCUAAUAAAAUGUACACAUAUAUUUAUCUAAACUUCAACUAUUACACCCUACACAAUCUGGUUUCAGGCCGCAGCAUUCUUGCCAAACUGCAGUUAUCAAUAUCAUUGACAAAUGGUUGCAAGAAAUGAAUGAUGGCAAUUUAAAUCUAGCAAUUUUAUUAGAUUUUAAAAAAGCUUUUGAUUUGGUAGAUCAUGAUAUAUUCUUUGUUUAAAGCUUGAAAUUUAUGGAUUUAGCCAGGCUACUGUUAGUUUUUUCAAGUCAUACCUCAAUAACAGAAAACAGCAGGUUAACAUUUGUAAUGUUUAUUCUGAACAACAACAUGUAAAAUUUGGUGUCCCCCAAGGUUCUAUACUUGGUCCCCUAUUGUUUGUAAUAUUUAUAAACGACCUUCCCUUAUGCAUUGAAAAUUGUGAAACAGACCUGUAUGCUGAUGACACCACUCUUCAUAAAUCUGGGAAAAACAUAGAAAACAUACAUGAUGAUGUUCAAGAAGAUUUAUACAGGGUUGAAGAGUGGUGUAAAAUGAACAACAUGUUCAUUAAUGCAAAUAAAACAAAAUGUUUGGUUACUGGAACAAAACAGAAACUAUCAAUUCAGACUUAUCAACCAAACUUGAUAAUAAAUUCAAAAGUUUUACAAAAUUCUUCAUGUGAAAAAUUAUUAGGUGUUAAAAUUGACAACACACUUAACUGGAAAAAUCAAAUUGACCAAGUUUGUGCUUAUAUAUCAUCCAGAAUAUACCUUCUUUCUAAAAUAAAGAAAUUUUUAGAUAUAAAUGCAAGGAAAACAUAUUACAAUGGGUAUAUUCUUCCCUUAAUUGACUACUGCUGUAUUAUUUGGGGUGAAUGUAAAAAUGAAGGGAAAACAAGAAUUUUGAAACUCCAAAAAAGAGCAGCAAGAUUAAUUCUAGAUGCAGAUCCUUUAUCCCCCUCAGCCCCUUUAUUUAAAAAACUUGGGUGGAUGACAGUUGACAAUAGAAUAAAAUACCACAAAUAUUUACUUCUAUAUAAAUGUAUGCGUAUGGAAGCACCAAUGUACCUAGUUCAAAAGUUUAAACUGAAAUCAGAUAAUAAUCCUUACUCCUUAAGAGGUGUCACUCAAGGUAAUCUGAUAGUUCCUAAGCCAAAAGCUUAACUUUUUAAGAAAUCCUUUCCUUAUUCUGGAUCAGUAUUAUGGAAUGGAAUACCAUACAAAAUGCGUAAAGCUCAAAACACUUUUACUUUUAAGCAAAGUAUCAAGAAGUACCUAACACUAUCCUGAUAAGAAAUGUUUGCUACAAUGUAUAAUUUGUAUAUUUUUAUUUUUAUUUGAUUUUUUGACUACAUGUAUACUUCUUAAACAGCAUUAUAUCUUAUGUAAUAAUAACAAUACAUUGAACUACAUGACUGUAAAUUAACUAUGUGUAAAUAUCUGUUUUGAUUGUAUUGUAAUUUGUAUGUGAGGGCCUCAGGGAAGAUUAGUUUAUUGUAACUAACUGAGUUUACCCUCUUUAAAUAAAGAAUUUAUUAUUA